rnacentral:rRNA from 1 species
AGCGAACGCUGGCGGCAGGCCUAACACAUGCAAGUCGAACGAACCUUUCGGGGUUAUUGGCGUUCGGGUGAGUAACACGUGGGAACGUGCCUUUAUGUUGGGAAUAACUCAGUGAAAGUUGUUCUCUUACCGAAUGUGUCCUUCAUGGGGCAUAUCUUUAGCAUUUAGAGCGGCCGGCCUUUGAUUCGCUAGUUGGUUGAGUUAAUGGCUCACCAAGGCGACGAUCAGUAGCUUGUCUGAGAGGAUGAGCAGCAACAGUGGGACGGAGACACGGCCCAAAAUCAUACGGGAGGCAGCAGUGGGGAAUCGUGCGCAAUGGGCGAAAGACUGACGGAGCCAUGGCGUGUGAAUGAUGAAGGUCUGAGGAUAGGAAAAUUCUUUCAACGGGGACGAUAAUGACGGUACCCGGAGAAGAAGCCCCGGCUAACUUCGUG